GCUUGCCAUCUCAAAUCUCAGCUGAUACCUACUUGUACUCAUCACCUCCUCCUCCCAAGAAGCCCUAUUAUUAUCACUCUCCUCCACCACCUUCACCUCCUCCACCUAAGCCAUACUACUAUCAUUCACCACCACCACCUUCACCUCCUCCACCCAAGCCAUACUACUAUCACUCACCACCACCACCUUCACCUCCUCCACCUAAACCAUACUACUAUCACUCACCACCACCACCUUCACCUCCUCCACCUAAACCAUACUACUAUCACUCACCACCACCACCUUCACCUCCUCCACCUAAACCAUACUACUAUCACUCACCACCACCACCUUCACCUCCUCCACCUAAGUCAUAUUACUAUCACUCACCACCACCACCACCCAAAAAGAAGCCAUACUACUACCAUUCUCCCCCACCACCUUCACCAC
rnacentral:lncRNA from 1 species